GAGCAGGUGCUCCGCCCCUCCCUCAUCACCAGCAGUGAAAAUCUAGAGCUGGAGCCCAGCCUCUGGGAAGGCCCAGCAUGGAGGCAGCCACAGCUCCGGAGGUGGCCGUAGGAUCCAAGCUGAAGGUGAAAGAAGUCAGCCCAGCAGAUGCUGAACCACCCCAGGCUUCACCUGGACAGGGGGCUGGCAGCCCCACUCCCCAGCUCCUGCCCCCUAUAGAAGAGCACCCCAAGAUCUGGCUACCUCGGGCCCUGAGGCAGACCUACAUCCGGAAGGUUGGGGACACAGUGAACCUACUAAUCCCAUUCCAGGGCAAGCCCAAACCUCAAGCCAUCUGGACACACGAUGGCUGUGCCUUGGACACCAGCCGUGUGAGUGUGCGGAAUGGGGAGCGAGACUCCAUCCUCUUCAUCCGAGAAGCCCAACGUGCUGACUCAGGUCGCUACCAACUCCGUGUGCAGCUGGGCGGGCUGGAGGCCACUGCCACCAUUGACAUCCUGGUGAUUGAGAGGCCAGGCCCUCCUCAGAGUAUUAAGCUAGUGGACGUCUGGGGCUUCAACGCGACCCUGGAAUGGACACCUCCCCAAGAUACGGGGAAUACAGCACUCCUGGGAUACACGGUGCAGAAGGCUGACACAAAAUCUGGGCUGUGGUUCACAGUGCUGGAGCACUAUCACCGCACCAGCUGCAUCGUCUCCGAUCUCAUCAUCGGCAACUCCUAUGCCUUCCGUGUCUUUGCUGAAAACCAAUGCGGACUCAGUGAAACAGCCCCCAUCACCACGGACCUCGCCCACAUCCAGAAAGCAGCUACUGUUUACAAGAUCAAGGGAUUUGCCCAACGAGAUUUAUCUGAAGCCCCAAAGUUUACCCAGCCUCUGGCCGACUGCACUACAGUCACCGGCUAUAACACCCAGCUCUUCUGCUGUGUCCGUGCCUCUCCCCGGCCCAAGAUCAUCUGGCUGAAGAACAAGAUGGAUAUCCAAGGCAACCCUAAGUACAGAGCCCUGACUCACCUGGGAAUCUGCUCCCUAGAGAUCCGCAAGCCUGGUCCCUUUGAUGGAGGCAUCUAUACCUGCAAGGCGGUGAACCCCCUAGGGGAGGCAUCUGUGGACUGUCGGGUGGAUGUGAAAGCCUAGGAAAGCUGCAGCUGUUUGUCGGGCUUUAUUUCACUUUCCCCUCUUGUUUGUUUACAGUUCCUAAUUGAGGACACCUAAGAAGACGUGGUACUCUGACAAAGAAGUCAGCUCCCAUGUAAAGGAUCUCAGGCUACAUUACUGAAUGAUGAGAGGCCACGUGGAGGACAACCAAGCAUCCCCACUGACAGCCAGCACCCUGGCCCCAGACACAUGUGGCCACCUUGGACCCCAGAGCCCCAGUCGAGCACCUUGUAGAGACAAAUCACCCCUGGAGAGCCCUGCCCACAUUGUAAACUCAUGAGCAAAUAAAUAGUGGCUGUUGUUUCAAGCCACUAAAUUUUGAA